GAUGAACGCUAGCGGCAGGCUUAAUACAUGCAAGUCGUGGGGCAGCAUGUCCCGCAGCAAUGCGGGAUGAUGGCGACCGGCAAACGGGUGCGGAACACGUACACAACCUUCCUUUUAGUGGAGAAUAGCCCAGGGAAACUUGGAUUAAUACUCCGUAACAUAUAGAAGUGGCAUCACUUUUAUAUUAUAGCAGCAAUGCGCUAGAAGAUGGGUGUGCGGCUGAUUAGAUAGUUGGCGGGGUAACGGCCCACCAAGUCGACGAUCAGUAACUGGUGUGAGAGCACGACCAGUCACACGGGCACUGAGACACGGGCCCGACUCCUACGGGAGGCAGCAGUAAGGAAUAUUGGUCAAUGGACGCAAGUCUGAACCAGCCAUGCCGCGUGGAGGAUGAAGGUCCUCUGGAUUGUAAACUUCUUUUAUUUGGGAAGAAACCCAUCUUUUCUAAGAUGGCUGACGGUACCAGAUGAAUAAGCACCGGCUAACUCCGUGCCAGCAGCCGCGGUAAUACGGAGGGUGCAAGCGUUAUCCGGAUUCACUGGGUUUAAAAGGGUGCGUAGGUGGGCAAGUAAGUCAGUGGUGAAAUCUCCGGGCUUAACCCGGAAACUGCCAUUGAUACUAUUUGUCUUGAAUAC
rnacentral:rRNA from 1 species